GAAUGGACGUAAGGCAAGGCAAAUUUGCAUAUCUGAUUAUGGGCAAAUAUGGGAAUUCUCUCUGCUGCUUCCUCCACUCCACCCCAUUCCGAAAGUGGGGGAGAAGAUGAAGUAGCAGGUGCCUGAGGAGCUCAGAGGUUACAAAUAUCCUGUUGGAGAACUGGAUAGAAAGCUGCCUAAAAACAGAGGCAUCCGCGGUAGGGGUUCGCCCGGGGCAGGGGAACAGGGCCAGGGGACAACUUUGGUUCUUCAAUCCUCGGCUUCCCUUCAUUUUUACUCCAAACGUCUCCUUCCACCUUUUGAAGGACGCAUUCGAGUACCCCGUUGGUAUCUAAGGGGGCGGGGCCUCCGAAAACGGGCUGGGCCUCGGGUUUUCCGCUACCCCCGCGGCCUUCUGGGAAUCGUAGUUUUCUGAGGGCACUGUGCGCAGGCGCUCCGUGGUACUUGCGCCGCGAGCCGGUUGGUACCCAAGGUACUGUUACGUGACAGGUUGUCUCCAUAUCAGGCCCAGAGAUGAGUAGAAUUGGAGAGAAGACGACAGAUUUUCUUCAUCCUGUUCCAGAUGUAUAGUUACUCUGUGUAGUCUGCCUUUGCUUUUUGAUAUUUGACUGCUGAGAGCUUUUAAGACUCACUCUUUCUUCCCCUUGUGUUCCACACCUGGACAAGCUGAUAAGGACGCCUGAAUGCUCUCUCCCUGGGCAUUGGCAAGAGAUCCAUAUCACACAAGCCCCUUCCUGUGGGCUUGUGGGAACACUCACCCUGGCCCUAACCACAGUAAAAACCCAGGCCAGUCUCCUUUCCUCACUCUAUCAAGCCAUUUUGGACCAGCUUGAGAGACCUGCCCUGGUCUCUCCCAGAGACCUCAGUUACCUCUGCCAACUCUGGCCUGGGCCUUUUGCAAGAGAACAUAGAAGAGGAGAGAAUGGCAGCUGUGCCUCUAACAGCCAGAUGGCAGAAGUCACUCAAGUUUAAGGAUGUGGCUGUGAAGUUCUCAAAGGAUGAGUGGAAGCAACUGGUCCCUACUCAGAGGGCUCUUUACAGGGAGGUGAUGCUGGAGAACUAUCAGGGUUUUAUUUCUUUGGGACUUCUAGUUCCUAAACCUGAUGUGAUUUUCCAGUUGAAGAGAGGUGAAGAGCCAUGGAAACUUGAUUUUCAGGAAGAUGAAAAAAGUGAAGUCCCAGGAAGCACUUUUCUAGACCAAAAUGCUAGACUUGAGAGCCAGGACUCAACUCAAAGGCAGGAUGUUUCUAAAAAAGCAAAGUCACAAAAGACAUUAAUGGAAACACUCAGAAAAGAUGGUCCUCUGGGUCCUGUACUUGGCCCAGAAAACCUUGAGGGCACCAAGAAAGAACAUCUUUCAGGGGAGACUUUGAAGAAAUCCUCCCCCAAGGAGGACUUGCAAAGAUCCACUCCUGCCAAGAAAACCAACAAUAAGGGGAGAAACCUUGAAUGCGGCAUAUGUGGGAAGACCUUAUAUAACCACUUAUCCCUCACUCGUCAUCAAAGGACUCACACCAGAGAGAAGCCCUAUAACUGUCAAGAGUGCGGGAAAGCCUUCAGCUAUAGAAGUAGUCUUAAGAAACACCUGAUGUCUCACACUGGGAAGAGCCCCUUUGAAUGCAGUGAAUGUGGGAAAACGUUCUAUGACCGAUUAACCCUUACUGAACAUCAGCGAACUCAUACCGGAGAGAAGCCCUUUAAAUGUCACGAAUGCGGCAAGGCUUUCUUUGUCCGCUCAUCUUUUACUCGCCAUCAGAGAAUUCAUACUGGAGAAAGUCCUUACAUAUGUACAGAAUGUGGGAAAUCCUUUAGCCAGAAAAGCAUCCUCGCUCGCCACAAGCUCACUCACACUGGAGAGCGGCCUUACGAAUGCAAGGGGUGUGGCAAAGCCCUGUUUGACCGCUCCUCCCUCAUUCGCCACCACAGAGCACACACAGGAGAGACUCCUUUUGAAUGUAACGAGUGUGGGAAAGUUUUCUUUGACCGCUCAUCCCUUAAUCAGCAUCAGAAAAUUCAUAGUGGAGACAAGCCCUAUAAAUGCACCGAAUGUGGGAAAGCCUUCCUCCAGAAGAGACCGCUUACUCAGCAUCAGAGAGUGCAUACAGGGGAGAAGCCCUACGAAUGCAGCGUGUGUGGGAAGGUGUUCAGUUGCAAGUCCUCUAUCAUCCAACAUCAGCGACGUUAUGCCAGGCAGGCUUCAGAUUAUCACAGAGGUGCUUCAGCCCGGCAGGGGACCCCCAAAGAGACUUAAGACACUUUUGUUCAAGAUAAUGAAGAUUUGUGUUUGAGCACCUUCUGACUGCUGCUUAUUCUCAUGCCUCCAUUUGGUACUAGAGUCUCAAUAAAUAGUCUCAAGGGACCAUGCCAUAGACUUCCCCUGGGAUGCCUCAUACUUAGUAUAAUACUCUGAGGAUCCCCAGAUUGGGCAGAAGCUCUCCGAUCAGUAUGUUUUGUAAGUGUUUGAAGGGGACCCUAAGAUAAGCAUCAUAUGUUUUUAUUUAUUUAUUUUAUUUAUUUAUUUAUAAUUAUUUUUUUUAUUUCUAGACUGCUCCGUAAGAGUGGGAACUAUUUCCUAUCUGUGCACUGCUGUGUCCCCAGUGCGGUGCCUGCCACUUACUCCAUAUUUUCUCAGUGAAUGAAUACCUGUCUAAUCAUAAGAACUUGAGCCCCCAGUCAGAACUACUUUCUAGAACUAGAAACUUCAGUAAGAAAAUUAACAUGAAGCCAAUAUGUAUGUAGGACCUUAAAUAAUCCACUUUUCUUGGAGGUUUCUGGAGUCUUGGUUUGGGUAUGCCCUUGUUCUUCACUCAAGAUCCUUAGUUCCCCUGAAUUUUGUCUCUUCUGCCCUCUAACCUGACCUUUAGGCUCUAGUAGACUAACCUAUCACCCUUGUUUCUUGGUUAGUGGUUGUGUUUUUGUUUUAUAUUUGUUUAAUCUCAUUGAUAACUAAAAUUCCUUAGCCUGGCUCUGCCAUUCCAUCCAUACCCUGGACACAACAGCGUCCCUUUCUCAUAAUUUAUUCACCUAUAACUGAAGGGAAAAAUAGUCACACCAAAAGUUCGAAGUCCAGUUGUGAUCCAGCUGUAGCCAUGGCAGCUGGGUGGGGUUCCAGGCUGAAGAAGUCAGCCACAGUGAACCAGGAGAUGGGGCCAUGUCUAAUCUCAAAGAAUAUCACAAAGCCAAGUUAUAACUCCAGGCAUAGCUCAUCCAUGAGUAGUCAUCCUUCAGUACUAAAGCAGCCGACAUGAGGAUGUAACUGAGAGCCAGGCCACCACAUCCUAUUAGACAUGAUGUCCUUCUUGCCAGAACAUCAGUAUCUGUGAAACCAAAAUGCAGACUGUCCUAUCCAUGCCCACACAGUGGAGACAUAGAUUGGCUUCCUCACACCUACAUCCUGAGAAUUGCUCCUUAGUAAUAAAGCAGUAAUUCCAGAGAGCAGCUGAAAAUGUGAGCACCUGGAUGAGAAGGACAGAUUCCUUAUAUCUUGGUAUUUUUUUUUAAAAAGCAUAGUUUUAAUUUCUUGCACCAUAGUGGUAUUACAAUAGAUGAAGAAUAGAGAAUUAGCAUGGCACUCUCUUCUUUCACCUUGUUAAUGGACAGGAAUCUGGAACCUCGGGCAGGACAGAUGGAGUUACAGGGAAGCCCAGUAGCAGAGGCCACAAAAAAUCAGUCCCCAUGAUGAUCAAAGAUCUGACCCCUUGUAUGAUGCCCAACCUAUUGCACAUGCCAUAGGUAUCAUGUAAAGAUGUGGAUUCCUUGCCAUCACACGUGUGUCUAAAACUUGUGCAAAGUCUGCAGAAGAGGCAGUUGACCAAAUAUCCCAGGAUCAGUAGUUCAACUUAUUGAGCCAUUUUACAGAACCUCGUUAUUAAGUAACUUGCAAAAGCCAAAGUAUUGAUAAUAAGCAUUGACUAAUGCUUACAGUGGCAGAAGCUGUUAGUUGCCUAACUUGUAGUCAUACUUCUUUUCUUUCUUUACAAUGGGAAAUCCAAGUCUCUUCUGAGCAAUAGACUGCUCAGCUGUAUUGCUCAGCCUCUCUUGUAGUGAGGUAUGGCCAGUCAGGCCAAUGAAAUAUUGAUAUAUCAAAUGUCAAGACAAUAGUAUAUUAAUAUAUCAAAUACCAGGCAAAUGAUAUGUUGAUAUAAUUGGAUUUUGUUGGAUAGGACUUCUGGAAAGGCACCUUAAAAGGGAGGGACAGCUAAGAAACCCCCUUUUGCCUUUGCCUUUCCCUUCUUUUCUACCUGGAAUGUGGAUUUAGUGGCUGGAAUUCCAGCAGCCAUCUUGUGACUUUGAGGAUCUAAGCCAUGCCUGAACGAUGGGAAAGGAGAAAAACAGAAGACCUCUGAUUCCUUGAUAAUCUGAAGAGAUUUCAUACCAGCUCUGGACUGCCUACUUCUGAUCUUGCAUGAGAGAGAAUAAACCCUUAUGUGUUUAACUACUAUAUUCACAGCCAAAGGAAAUUCCUGUUAAAGUUGAUGGGCAAAGAGAAGCAGAAGGAAUUUAUCUGAUCAGAUUCCUCCUGUUUCCCUCAUACUUUCAGGUUGCUUCAUCCAGCCAUCCCUAGGGAGGCCAGAUCCCACAGCCCAGUGUGUGGCACUUCAGCAAGCCUGGAAAUGGUGCAAGGAACCAGAAAGUUGAGCUGUGCAGUCGUUUGGCCUGUGGCAAGCAAGGGGGCGAGACUGGCACUCCCAGACAGAUAACUGUCCAGCUGAAGCUGGUGCAAUCAAAUGUCUCAGGCAGCUGAGGUGGAGCAAAGUGCUGAGGAGAGAAAACUGGCUACUUUAUUGUGGGAAGAUACGUGAGAACGUACAGCAUCCUGAAGAUACACCCAAUCCCAGCUGACUGCUCCUCGAACUUCUCUGGAGCCUUGAGAGACUUUCAUGUUGCAGUCGCCUUGAGGGCCACUUUCUGAGGACUCAGACCUUCCCUAUGGUGGAGACCCAAAAGAAAAGGGCAUGACCACUGUGCUGCUGACCCCUGCAUCCCAGGGCUUCCAAUUUCCAAGCCUGAUGUAAUCUCUCAGUCGCAGUGUGGGGAGGAGCUAGAGAGAGAAGUCUCAAAAGCAUUAGAUUUUGAAGUGAUUGGGAAAUCCUGGGAUGGGGAAAGAUUGGUAGCAAGGAGAUCAACCAAUGAUGGUCAUUCUCAAGGCAUGAGGUGCAGAGGCUCCAGUGAGGGGACUGGGAGACAAGACCAAAAAGCAAGGCGCUUACUCCAGAACAGGAUAUUUCUGAGGAAGAAUCAGCCCCUGGUGUGUUAAUAAAAAGAUUUCCAAAGGAAAGUUCCAGUGAAUGUGAGGAUUCUUUAGAGAGUUAGCAGGAAAACCAUGAGAAACAUUUAAUGCAGGAGGUUGUCACUCAGAAGAAAUCUUCUGGGGAGAGAAAUUACCAGUGUGAUGAAUUUGGGAGAAGUUUUCAUCAGAGGUCAUUACUUACUCAACAGCAAGGAGAGAGACUACAUAACUGUGAUUCAUUUAAAAAGAACUUAAAACAAAAUUUAGAUCUAAUGAGGCACGAGAAAAUUUGUGCAGAGAAGAAACCUUGGAAGUGUAAUGAGUGUGAGAAAGCCUUUAGUUACUACUCAGCUUUUGUCUUGCAUCAGAGAAUUCACACUGGAGAAAAGCCCUACGAAUGUAACGAAUGUGGUAAAGCUUUU